rnacentral:rRNA from 1 species
UAACAAUUGUCCGACAAACAACUACGAGUUAUACUUAAAACUUAAAAGACUUGACGGUACUUCACCACAACCUAGAGGAGCCUGUCUAAUAACCGAUAAUCCACGAUUAACCUCACCCUUUCUCGCCCAACAGUCUAUAUACCGCCGUCGUCAGCUUACCUUGUAAAAGAAAUAAAGUGAGCCAAACAGUACUACACUAAAACGACAGGUCGAGGUGUAACCAAUGAAAGGGGCUAAGAUGGGCUACAUUCUCCAGCCGGGAAUACGGACAGCACUAUGAAACAUGUGCCCAGAGGGAGGGUUUAGCAGUAAGAUAAGGAUUAACACUUAACUGAAACAAC